UUCAUUUUCUGAGUUAAAUAAAAUGAUUAAUAUAUCAGCAGGAUUCAAAAUCAACAUUUUGUUUAAAGUCUACUACAAUUUUUAUCACAGAUUCGUAUGCAAAGGCCAGAUCUGAACUUGGUAAAGCUGAGAUAACAUCAGAUUUACAGAGUGAUGUAGAUGUUUCAAGACUACGUACAAAACGUAUUCAGAAAUAUCUUGAAGAUGACAACGAUAAUAGUGAUGAGUAUUCUGACAAGGAUUCUCAGCAAA